rnacentral:rRNA from 1 species
GAUGAAUGCUGACAGAAUGCUUAACACAUGCAAGUCGAUGGGGAAGUGGUGCUUGCACCAUGGCAACCAUGGCGGACGGGUGAGUAACGCGUAAGGGACUUACCUGCAGGACUGGGAUAACAGGGGGAAACUCCUGACAAGACCGGAUAAUGUCAUGGAGCUGCAUGGCUUUAUGAUGAAAGGAGACGCCUGCGGAGAGCCUUGCGUCCUAUUAGCUAGUUGGUGAGGUAAUGGCUCACCAAGGCGAAGAUAGGUAGCCGGCCUGAGAGGGUGGACGGCCACAAGGGGACUGAGAUACGGCCCUUACUCCUACGGGAGGAGGCAGUGGGGAAUAUUGGACAAUGGGGGCAACCCUGAUCCAGCAAUUCUGUGUGCACGAAGAAGGUUUUCGGAUUGUAAAGUGCUUUCAGCAGGGAAGAAGUAAGUGACGGUACCUGCAGAAGAAGCGACGGCUAAAUACGUG